GGGGGCGCAGCGGGUCUCCAGGGGUUCUCGAGUCUUUGGCCGUGGCCCCACACUACGGGGGCGCUCACACCAGAGCACACACACAGAGAAGUUCCACAAGAGAAUGAGAGGAGGGGGCACUCGCUACUCACCUCCCAGGGGCGCAGGCACUCACGCACUAACACGCACUAACACGCAGACUUCCCACGCACAGGGACACACGCACACCUACCAGGAUGUCACUCCACACCCACCGAGAUCGACGCUCCCGUAGAGACAAAGUUCAACCACGGCCUUGAAGGUGGGCGGUCACACCACGCAACUGUGCGCAGCACACCGGCUCGGAACCGUGCCGCUCCGGGACAGCCACACGCACGCGGCUGUCUCCCUGCCCAGCGCUGAGUCGGCACCCGCGCCGGUCUGACCCGCCGCGUCCCUGGCCGUGCCCGCCGGCCUCUCCCCGGGUCGCUUCCCCUCCAGGCGGCCCGCCCCUCUCCUCCGCACCGCGCUCGUCCGCGUCCGCCCGGGGUGCCGCUGCCGCCCAGGUUGGGUGGCAGCGCCCGCGUCCCCCCGCCGCCGCCGCCGCCGGGACCCACGUGCCUGGGAGCCCCGCGGGCCCGGCUCCUCCUCGCUCCCCACCUCCGCGGCCCGGCCAGGCAGAGGGCGGGGCGGACUCUGCACAGACCCGGGCACCGCCUCGCCACCCGCUCCCGGACACCGCCCGGCGAGCAAAACGGACACGGGGUCAGCGCGUCCGCAACGGGUGCUGCGCCGGAAGGGGUCGGCGGCGGUGGUCCUCCCGCCCGGCCAGACGGAGGCCGCCCGCCCCACCCUCGCACGAGAAGGGAGCGUGCGAGGAGACGUUUUCAGAGACGCCGGAGUUUUACAAGCCAAAGAAACUACCUCCUUGAGACACACGGUGUCUGAAUUACCACAACAGGUGACUUAGUGAGGUCUGCGGAGCAGAGGAAAAUGCCAUGUCCUUGAACUCCACAGCUUUGGUUCAGAUUCCAGUCUUGCCUCGCCUUUCCUGUGACUCCUCUCUGAUUCCUUUUUUUUUUGUCUUUUUGUGACCGGUAAGGGAAUUGCAACCCUUGGUGUGGUGUCGCCUGCACCGCGCUCAGCCAGUGAGCGCACCGGCCAUUCCUAUAUAGGAUCCGAACCCGUGGCGGGAGCGCCGCUGCGCUCCCAAGCGCUGCACUCUCCCAAGUGCGCCACGGGGCCGGCCCUGUGACUCCUCUCUGAACAUUGAUUUCCUCUUCUGCAAAAUGGAGUAAUAAUAAUCUCUUAACUUGCUG